AGAGCCCUGCAGGCGCCCGGCUCCCUUUUCCUCAAAGGGAGGGAAAGGAGGAAGGGGGCGGGGGAGGGGAGGGAGAGAACUGAGAGGCUGGGCCGUGCGGUUCGCGGGCAAGGAAAAACGUUGAUGCUGAGGGGUUGUCCGCCGCGGCUCUCAACUGACCACGGGGUGCCGUCCUGGUGACGGGCCCCGGCUGCAGGUGUGAGGAGGUAGCGGGGCCUCCAACUGCCAGACAGUGGGCGACUCGACAGGUUGAGGAGGCCGCGAGGGGCUCAGAAGGGUUACCUGAACUUGGUGUCUUACUGACUGGGGCAGAGCCAGUGGAUUAGACGGUGACCUGACUUCUGGCUGAGGCAGGGGAGAAACCCCACGUCUUCGUAUGUGCAGGUGAACUUCUGAAUCAGCCAGAGGAUAUGAUAAUAAAGAUUGCAAGACCACACACCAGCAUUUUCAACUGAGAAACUGAAUUUUUUGAUCCUGCCUAAAACUUGGUAAACACAGAGUCCCUGACUGCAUCAUCUGAGAAUUUCUGAAGAAUACCUUGCCAACCAGAUGGGAUGAAUAUCGGCCCUGGAGUUACUUUCCUUAAC